CCUACGGGAGGCAGCAGUGAGGAAUAUUGGUCAAUGGACGAGAGUCUGAACCAGCCAAGCAGCGUGAAGGAUGAAUGCCUUAGGGGUUGUAAACUUCUUUUAUAUGGGAAUAAAAUGUUCUACGUGUGUGACUUUGUAUGUACCAUAUGAUUAAGGAUCGGCUGACUCCGCGCCAGCAGCCGCGGUAAUACGGGGGGUCCGAGCGUUAUCUGGUUUUGGUGGGUUUAAAGGGAGCGUAGGUGGAUAGUUAAGACAGUUGUGAAAGUAUGCGGGUCAACCGUAAGAAUGCAGUAGAAACUGGCAGGCUUGAGUACAGUAGAGGUGGGCGGAAUUCGAGGUGUAGCGGUGAAAUGCUUAGAUAUCACGAGGAACUCCGAUUGCGAAGGCGGUUCACUGGACUGCAACUGACGCUGAGGCUCGAAAGUGUGGGUAUCAAACAGGAUUAGAUACCCUUGUAGUC
rnacentral:rRNA from 1 species